CGCGCAGUCAUCUGGGGAGUAGCCGCCCGCAUCGAUUUGCGGGACCCGUCGUCAACAUACUCGGUCGAGAGGCCGUGGCGCACGGGAGGACUUUUAAAAAGUCCGGGCGAGACCAAUGACGCUUUGCGGUUCCGUCCUGGCCGGGCGGGUGCUGCGUAGCGUCGUUGCGUUCUUGUCCCGCCCGGCCCCGGAGAACAU
rnacentral:sRNA from 2 species